GAGGAGCUUAUGUAACCGUGUAAUUUCGAGCAUGAAAUGAAUGAAACUAACAAGAUAUUAAGGUCCUUACACUGAACACAUUGCGUGAAGAAUAAUGACAAUGAAUUUAAAGUUAGCAACAACAUGUUGACAUUGCAAUAUUACAUACGUUUUGUAGCGAUUGAACCUGAGCAUAAUUGGGGCAUCAAUAUAUACAAGCAAAAAGAACGGACGUUUGAGCAAUGCACUUAACAAACGUGGACUAUGAAUUCCAUUAAUUACAAAUCUUUCGCGCCAUCUUGGAGUGAGAUAGCUAAUAAGAUCGUCAACGCUGCCAAGGACUAAAUCGCCAGUUCUAUAUAUAUAUUCUCCAUCCUCGUUUAGUUGUGGUAAUCGAAAAAUAGCAUUGAAACCAUGCUUUGUCUCAAGGUAUUCAACAACGGCAUCUUUUCCACUACAUAAUGGCCCUGUAAGACCAACAGUUGGCAUAUUUAUUUGCUUAAUAAAUCAAACAAAGCUACUUAAGCUUAAGAAACGUAUUUCAGUUUGAUUAUCUCCCCAAAUAGUUAGAGAUAGAUCGGUUUUAACGUACUCACAUACCUA